rnacentral:rRNA from 1 species
AGUGAACGCUGGCGGUAGGCCUAACACAUGCAAGUCGAACGGCAGCACAGUAAGAGCUUGCUCUUACGGGUGGCGAGUGGCGGACGGGUGAGGAAUACAUCGGAAUCUACUUUUUCGUGGGGGAUAACGUAGGGAAACUUACGCUAAUACCGCAUACGACCUACGGGUGAAAGCAGGGGAUCUUCGGACCUUGCGCGAUUGAAUGAGCCGAUGUCGGAUUAGCUAGUUGGCGGGGUAAAGGCCCACCAAGGCGACGAUCCGUAGCUGGUCUGAGAGGAUGAUCGGCAACACUGGAACUGAGACACGGUCAAGACUCCUACGGGAGGCAGCAGUGGGGAAUAUUGGACAAUGGGCGCAAGCCUGAUCCAGCCAUACCGCGUGGGUGAAGAAGGCCUUCGGGUUGUAAAGCCCUUUUGUUGGGAAAGAAAAGCAGCAGGUUAAUACCCCGCUGUUCUGACGGUACCCAAAGAAUAAGCACCGGCUAACUUCGUG